rnacentral:lncRNA from 1 species
UUUUCUGCAUUAUCUGCAACUGUUGGACUUUCGGUCCUUGAAAAUUCUUGUCCAUGCUUGAAUUGCUGCAACUGCCGUUUCAAUGGCUUUAGGCCCAUUUGCUUAUUCCUCUAUGGCUACUGCACCUGUACAUCUGCUUUGGGAUUUCACGACCCAUUGAAGGGUGUGGCAUUUUUGACCUGUAAAUCAGUCCAUCUGGGAUUCGCAAUGGGGCCGAGGCUUAGACCUAACGAAAUCCAGUAGGAGAAGAUCGAGUAGUUCACAUCGAGUAGUUCACAUGAAAAACAAAAGGUAAUAGAAAAUUAGCAACUAUCUGACACUAAUGAAUCAAAUAAAUGAGAUAAUGAAAGGAAGCUUUGUCAAGGUAUUUAGCCACUGCCAGGUAAAAGGAAACUAAAACAAAACAUUUUUUCAAGUAUUAAAGAAUGGCACUAACAGAUUUUAAUGAGCACAGGGCAUGUCUAAACGGAUGAAGACUCCAUAGCGAAUUAAUCUAGUAUCUGAUGCAAUAUUGAGAUUUCCCCGAUUAAAA